AAGUCACAUGGAUGUCUGCUCACUCGUUAGUCACUUUCUCGAUGCUACGGUAGUGUAACUAAUUUUUUGACCUGCGGUGCUACAACUGCUCAUAAUGAGGCUACUGAAGUUUGACUACACAUAAAUAUUGACUCAAUGAGUCCUUGUAAUGGAUAUUGGUGACAGUUGGUCUACUAUAAGAGUAGGGUGUACACCUAGAUAAAAUCUAUCGAUCCUAGC
rnacentral:lncRNA from 1 species